rnacentral:rRNA from 1 species
GAUCAUGGCUCAGGACGAACGCUGGCGGCGUGCUUAACACAUGCAAGUCGAAUGAGAAUCUACUGAAAGAGUUUUCGGACAAUGGAAGUAGAGGAAAGUGGCGGACGGGUGAGUAACGCGUGAGGAACCUGCCUUGAAGAGGGGGACAACAGUUGGAAACGACUGCUAAUACCGCACGAAGCAUAGGGGUCGCAUGAUUCUUAUGCCAAAGAUUUAUCGCUUCAAGAUGGCCUCGCG